UACAGAGGGUGCAAGCGUUGUUCGGAAUUAUUGGGCGUAAAGGGCGCGUAGGCGGUGCCACAAGUCGCCUGUGAAAUCUCCGGGCUUAACUCGGAGCCUGCAGGCGAAACUGUGGUGCUGGAGUGUGGGAGAGGUGCGUGGAAUUCCCGGUGUAGCGGUGAAAUGCGUAGAUAUCGGAAGGAACACCAGUGGCGAAAGCGGCUUCCUGGUCCAGCACCGACGUUCAGGCACGAAAGCGUGGGGAGCAAACAGG
rnacentral:rRNA from 1 species